GGAGAGGUGCGUGAGUGGUUUAAACGAAAGGUUUGCUAAACCUUGCCGGCGCAAGCUGGCUCGUGGGUUCAAAUCCCACCCUCUCCG
rnacentral:tRNA from 1 species